GCAGUGGUGGUUUGGUGGUAGAAUUCUCACCUUCCAUGCAGCAGACCUGGGUUCAAUUCCCAGCCAACGCA
rnacentral:tRNA from 1 species